rnacentral:rRNA from 1 species
AUGCGGAUCCAAUCAAAUGGGGAGGCAGAUUUUGUUGCUUGGCAUUAUGAAAAGUCAGGGUUGUUCUCAGUUAGGAGUGCGUACAAGUUAGCGCUCACCCUUAAGGAUAACAAAGAGGAUGAGGGACAAUCCAUUGAGGCGGUAGGGACGGAGAGGAAAAUUUGGAAUAUUAUUUGGAAGGCAAACAUUCCUCAGAAGAUUCGUAUUUUUGCAUGGAGGGUUGCUUCCAAUAGCUUGGCCGUACAGGUUAAUAGAGUGGCGCAUCAUCAAGCCUCUGUUAGUACGUGUUCUAUUUGUGGCAUGGAGGAUCAAAAUACCUUCCAUGCGCUUGUCUUGUGCCCGAAGGCGCGUGCGCUUCGCAUGGCCAUGAGGAACAUUUGGGCUCUACGUGAUGAGGAGGUUUUCAGAUAUACGGGGUAUGAUUGGUUUAUUGUUCUCCUAAGUCAAUUAAACCCCGUAAUGCGAGACCAAAUUAUAUUCUUAUUCUGGAGGACCUGGCAUUUGAGAAAUGAUUUGAUCUUUGGUAAAGGAAAGGAAUCAGUUUCAGCUUCUACUUGCUUUGUGGACAGUUAUUGGGCGUCUUUUGGUGCAUAUCAUUCUCCGAGGCCGGUGGAUUUUCAAAAUAAAGGAAAAGGGCCGUUGGUCCGGAUUAGCGGAGUUCCUAAUUCUCUGGAUGUAGUGGCUGGUCCCCGCCUCCUGCAGGUUGGUUCAAGAUUAAUGUCGAUGCUAGCUUCGUGGAGUCCAUUAGAGAAGCCAGUGUGGGGUUGGUGGUCAGGGACGAGGAAGGGGAAGUUAUUGUUUCGUCGUGGGAUUUCAUUGGUGCCUGUCAAAGCGUGGAGGAAGCGGAGCUUAGAGCUUGCAUUGCCGGUCUCUACAUAG